CAGCAGCCACGGGAAAACAGAGGGUGCAAGCGUUAAUCGGAAUUACUGGGCGUAAAGCGCGCGUAGGUGGUUUGUUAAGUUGGAUGUGAAAUCCCCGGGCUCAACCUGGGAACUGCAUCCAAAACUGGCAAGCUAGAGUAUGGUAGAGGGUGGUGGAAUUUCCUGUGUAGCGGUGAAAUGCGUAGAUAUAGGAAGGAACACCAGUGGCGAAGGCGACCACCUGGACUGAUACUGACACUGAGGUGCGAAAGCGUGGGGAGCAAACAGGAUUAUAUACCCCUGUAGUCCCUGUCUCUUAUAC
rnacentral:rRNA from 1 species